CAUUAAGUGGCUGAAAAAGCAUUAGUCUCUUAAACUAUUUUAUGGUUAAUACCCUUAAUG
rnacentral:tRNA from 1 species